UGGUAGAGCACGACCUUGCCAAGGUCGGGGUCGCGAGUUCGAGUCUCGUUUCCCGCUCCA
rnacentral:tRNA from 1 species